AUUGAACGCUGGCGGCAGGCCUAACACAUGCAAGUCGAGCGGAUCGGCGGACGGGUGAGUAAUGCCUAGGAAUCUGCAUGUUCGUGGGGGAUAACGUCCGGAAACGGGCGCUAAUACCGCAUACUAUCAGAUGAGCCUAGGUCGGAUUAGCUAGUUGGUGGGGUAAAGGCCUACCAAGGCGACGAGCCGUAACUGGUCUGAGAGGAUGAUCAGUCACACUGGAACUGAGACACGGUCCAGACUCCUACGGGAGGCAGCAGUGGGGAAUAUUGGACAAUGGGCGAAAGCCUGAUCCAGCCAUGCCGCGUGUGUGAAGAAGGUCUUCGGAUUGUAAAGUUCUUUCGGUAGCGAGGCGUUACCUACAGAAGAAGCACCGGCUAACUACGUGCCAGCAGCCGCGGUAAUUC
rnacentral:rRNA from 1 species